CCAGCCUCCGCGUUUGGAGAAAGGACAGAUUGUCUGAGGAGGGACAUUUAAUGCAAUUUGAAUCUAGUCAAAGCGAGACUCGGGCCCUGGAGCUGUUUGGGAAUAAUAAGGUAUUGAUCGAUCGGACACUGGAACUGCAGGAAAUUAGAUCAGCCGACGUUCAAAUUUAGGCAGGAAAAAUACUUUGGGCAUUCGGAGUUAACUGAAUCAGCUGUGAGCGUCAUUUAUUAAUUUUGCUGCUUAAACAUUAUGACAUCCUUCAAGCUGUAUUGAUUGUGCACAUUAGGAAUGUGAACGCUCCGCUUUGGGACAGCUGACCUCUCCCCCACCGGGGGGUGGGUGUGACCAGCUGCCACCGGCGGCUCACUCACCCACGCCGCGUGGAAGCAGUCCAGGGCGGCCCCGAUGACGUCACAGGCGUAGCCCAGGACCACCUGCAUGCCGAUGACGCUCCAGAACAGGUAGAGGAAGUAGACGAGCGGAGCCCCCGCCCCGAUCACCAGCAGCACCGUGAGCCUCUCCAGCACCACCGUCCCCAUCGCCUCCACCCCGUAGUUCACGCACCACACCGGAACCAGCAGCGUCCCCACCACGAUGGGCGUCCCCGUCUCCUGCAGGCCGCCGAGCCACGAGCGGCCGAGCCGGGCCAGCGAGUGCUUGAAGGGGUGCAGGAAGGUGCCGCACAGCACGGCCCAGAGGAGCGGGCGGAGGAAGGCCUCCAGGAUGAAGUAGACCAGCACGGCCGCGCCGCAGCAGAUGGCCACGAAGAUCAUCGCGCCCGUGUUGUAGAAGGCCUGCUUGAUGUUCUUGUCGAACUUGAGGGACGUGGGGUGGGACAGCAGCUGGCUCACCAUGUCCACGGCCGGCUGCACGCUCUCGGAGAAGGACACGCAGUGAGGCCGCGCGGCGCGGGGGCUCUCCGGCGGAGAGCGCGCCGCCGAGUCCGGCGCCGAGUCCUCCUCGUCUGCCAUGUUGGCCGCGUCCGCUCCGCUGCGCCCGACGGAGUGGCCGCGUGAGGCAGGAAAACAUGUGACGUAGCACGACGUCGUGCCCACGGGCACCAUGGGUUAUGUAGUGCAAGUGAAUUAAAAAAAAAAAACAACUACACUCUUUAUUUUUUUAAUUCACAGUUUUCCUUUAUUACCGUUAGUAUUUAUUGAAUUGUGGUUUGUUUAUUUAUUUACGUUUUAAAGAUGGUUACGUGUAAUUUUAAUUUCAGACUGUGUUUCCCUCCAGUGGUGGCAAGAAGAAAGACACCGUCAUCAGAACAGUUUGACAUAAUCAUAUAUAACCAUGCUUUUAUUGAUACGGGAGAUGGGUUCGAGCUAGUGUGGAUAAAAGCAAUAAACGGCCUGAGUUCACUGUAAUUACAGCUACAGCCCUCAAAUAUAUAUUUUAUUACAAAUAUGUCCAAUGGCUUACUGUAAUACUGUUCGGCUGACAGUGUUGUGUUUUUAAUACUGUUCUAUCUUAAAGGACGGCAUUAUGUCAAUAAUACAAAUGUAAAAGGCUACAGCAACAAUGAGGGCAAAUCUGGACAUAUUUUGUUUAAUUCACAAUUUGCUCCUGUUUGCGUUAUUACUCACGUUUUACACUUUC